rnacentral:misc_RNA from 1 species
GAUGAAGAACGCAGUGAAUUGCGAUAAGUAAUGUGAAUUGCAGAAUUCAGUGAAUCAUCGAAUCUUUGAACGCACAUUGCGCCCGCCAGCACUCUGGCGGGCAUGCCUGUCCGAGCGUCAUUUCAACCCUCGCGCCGUCCCUCCAGGGGGCUCGGCGCGGUGUUGGGGGACACGGCCCCGGCCGCCCCCGAAAUGCAGUGGCGACCCCGCCGCGGCCCCUCCAGCGCAGUAAGCACGCUCGCUACGGGAGGCCCGGUGGACGCGUCCGCCGUAAAACGCCCAACUCUUCAGAAGUUGACCUCGGAUCAGGUAGGGAUACCCGCUGAACUUAAGCAUAUCAAUAAGCGGAGGA